rnacentral:rRNA from 1 species
CAGGCUUAACACAUGCAAGUCGAGGGGCAGCAUUUUAGUUUGCUUGCAAACUGAAGAUGGCGACCGGCGCACGGGUGAGUAACACGUAUCCAACCUGCCGAUAACUCCGGGAUAGCCUUUCGAAAGAAAGAUUAAUACCGGAUAGCAUACGAAUAUCGCAUGAUAUUUUUAUUAAAGAAUUUCGGUUAUCGAUGGGGAUGCGUUCCAUUAGUUUGUUGGCGGGGUAACGGCCCACCAAGACUACGAUGGAUAGGGGUUCUGAGAGGAAGGUCCCCCACAUUGGAACUGAGACACGGUCCAAACUCCUACGGGAGGCAGCAGUGAGGAAUAUUGGUCAAUGGGCGAGAGCCUGAACCAGCCAAGUAGCGUGAAGGAUGAAGGCUCUAUGGGUCGUAAACUUCUUUUAUAUGGGAAUAAAGUUUUCCACGUGUGGAAUUUUGUAUGUACCAUAUGAAUAAGGAUCGGCUAACUCCGUGCCAGCAGCCGCGGUAAUACGGAGGAUCCGAGCGUUAUCCGGAUUUAUUGGGUUUAAAGGGAGCGUAGGUGGAUUGUUAAGUCAGUUGUGAAAGUUUGCGGCUCAACCGUAAAAUUGCAGUUGAAACUGGCAGUCUUGAGUACAGUAGAGGUGGGCGGAAUUCGUGGUGUAGCGGUGAAAUGCUUAGAUAUCACGAAGAACUCCGAUUGCGAAGGCAGCUCACUAGACUGUCACUGACACUGAUGCUCGAAAGUGUGGGUAUCAAACAGGAUUAGAUACCCUGGUAGUCCACACAGUAAACGAUGAAUACUCGCUGUUUGCGAUAUACAGUAAGCGGCCAAGCGAAAGCAUUAAGUAUUCCACCUGGGGAGUACGCCGGCAACGGUGAAACUCAAAGGAAUUGACGGGGGCCCGCACAAGCGGAGGAACAUGUGGUUUAAUUCGAUGAUACGCGAGGAACCUUACCCGGGCUUAAAUUGCAACAGAAUAUAUUGGAAACAGUAUAGCCGUAAGGCUGUUGUGAAGGUGCUGCAUGGUUGUCGUCAGCUCGUGCCGUGAGGUGUCGGCUUAAGUGCCAUAGCGAGCGCAACCCUUAUCUUUAGUUACUAACAGGUUAUGCUGAGGACUCUAGAGAGACUGCCGUCGUAAGAUGUGAGGAAGGUGGGGAUGACGUCAAAUCAGCACGGCCCUUACGUCCGGGGCUACACACGUGUUACAAUGGGGGGUACAGAAGGCGGCUACCUGGUGACAGGAUGCUAAUCCCAAAAACCUCUCUCAGUUCGGAUCGAAGUCUGCAACCCGACUUCGUGAAGCUGGAUUCGCUAGUAAUCGCGCAUCAGCCAUGGCGCGGUGAAUACGUUCCCGGGCCUUGUACACACCGCCCGUCAAGCCAUGAAAGCCGGGGGUACCUGAAGUACGUAACCGCAAGGAGCGUCCUAGGGUAAAACUGGUAAUUGGGGCUAAGUCAUAACA